ensembl:lncRNA
CCCAUGGCAUAUGGAGUUCCCAGGCCUGGGGUUAGAUUCAAGCUGCACAGGAACUCGAAUGCUGACAUUUUAAAGAUAGUCUUUUCCCCUUGUUAAGUUCAAAGCGCUUUGUAUGUCAGGUAAUCAAUACAGUCAAUUUCUAUUUUCUUUGGAAAUUAGAGAGCAAGAAAAAGAGAACUGGAGUUCACAUCAUGGCUCAGUGGAAAUGAAUCUGACUAGCAUCCAUGAGGAUGCAGGUUUGAUCCCUGGCUUCGCUCAGAGGGUUAAGGAUCCGGCAUUGCUGUGAGCUGUGGUGUAAGUUGCAGGUGUGGCUCAGACCUGCCAUUGCUGUGAGCUGUGGUGCAGGCCAGCAGCUACAGCUCUAAUUCAACCCCUAGCCUGGGAACCUCCAUAUGCCUCGGGUGUGGCCCUAAAAAAACAAACAAAACGCUCAAGAGUUCCUGUCCUGCUCAGCAGUAAUGAACCCGACUAGUAUCCACGAGGGCUUGGGUUUGAUCCCUGGUCCGGUUCAGUGGGUUAAGGAUCCAGCAUUGCCAUGGUGUAAGUUGCAGACAGGCCUCAGAUCCUGCCUUGCUGUGGCUGUGCUGUAGCUGCUGGCCAGCAGCUACAGCUCCGAUUUGCCUCCUAGCCUGGAAACUUCCAUAUGUCUCAGGUGAGGCCCUAAAAAAACAAAAAAAAAAAAAAAGAGAGAGAGUGAGAGCUAAUAUCAAGGUAUGGCUUUGAUUUCUCCCCAGCUCCCCCACUCCACACACCUGGCAAUUCUCUAUCCUAUAUUUUCACCCCUUUGAGGGAAAGAACAUUGUAAAGGCAUUAAAUUGAGAGAUGGGGGGAUGGCCUAUGGUGAGGUGGGAGGCUGGGGGAGGUACCUCUUGGGGAUGUGUGGUCAGUUUAGGAAAAGGUGCCAGCCACCUCUUCCUGUGCAUUCAAGUUUCUCGAUUUUCACCUUCACUUAUUAAUAAAAGAAACAGAUAUUUAUGGAGCAUAGGGUAGAGUUAUUAAGAACUUAAAAAAAUGGAACAAAGGAACUUAAAGAAAUGUUGCACAUGGAAUCAGGAAUUUGAGUUCAUUCUUCUCUACCACUGAGACUUUGAGCAGCUCUCGUUGUGCUAAGAGCACAGACUACAUGUAGCAUGCGAGUGAUGCCUCCUAGAGUUGUGAGGAAUGCACUGCACAGCCAUAAUAGCUCUGUAGAUGCAUACUACAGAGAUAAAACAGUGGACCUGGACCAAGAGAAGGUCACUGUUCAAUUAUUUCUCAUGCCUCUAUUACAGGAAAACAUCAAGAAAAAAUAUGCUCACAAAAUGGAAUAAGAAGGAGUGUUCUCAGGGCAAAAAGAACACAUUUAGAAAAAAAUCAAAGUAGUCACUGACACCUAGUUAUUGCUAUUGGGAAAGUAAGCCGGCAUUCAUCAUUUUAAUUCAUUAGAUGAAAUAAGCCAAGUGGCUUCAUUCCAGUUCUUAAGCAAUUAUUUAUAAUGAUUAUGUGAUUUCUCAACACUAAAUAAUAAAACAAUACAUUAUUAUACCUUAAAUUUAGGAGAAAGAGUCAAUCCUUUUUUUUACAUUACUUUUCUUAAGCCUUUCUGCAAACUCUUUGAAAUCUUACUUCAUCCUACUUCCUAAUACAUUGUCAUAUUAUCAUAUAUGGGGAACAAGCAAAUAUUAGGGAUAACUGGUCUACCAGCAGUCACUGAUGCACUGUGUUUCAUCUCACUGAGAACAUGAUGAGGAACAAUUCUGCAACAUUCAUUAAUCUACCCCAAGUCUUUGAUUCUGUAGCCAGGAUCCAUCUAAGACACCAAGGUAUAUAGUCCCAAACUAUUAAUACUCUCCCAGACUGUGGCAUGAUACCACCAUUGUAAGAUUAGAAAGGGUAGGGAUAGCCUGAAAAAUCAAAUUCCAAUCUGGAGUUCCCGUCGUGGUACAGCAGAAAUGAAUCCGACUAGGAACCAUGAGGUUGUGGGUUCGAUCCCUGGCCUUGCUCAGUGGGUUAAGGAUCUGAUGUUGCCAUGAGUUGCGGUGUAAGUCGCAGAUUUGGCUUGGAUCUCGUGUUGCUGUGGCAGUGGUGUAGGCCAGCAGCUACAGUCCGAUUGGACCCCUAGCCUGGGAACCUCCAUGUGCCAAGGGUGCAGCCCUAAAAAGACAAAAAUUAAAUAAAAAAUUCCUAUCUUUCGCAUUAUUAACAGAGCUGUAAUCUGAUGCCUUUCCCCUAAUUUUCUACUGGAUAUGGCUUUCAGAUGAACUGAAAGAUACCCUCUUACCAAUGGUAACAGGAGUAAUAAUAUCAUCCAUAUUACGGCUGACACUGUCCAUAAUGAGCUGAUAUGAGCUGGGGGCUAUUCUGGGGAGCAGUUGAACUCACUGACUAAUUAAAGUCACAAAAAGGUGGUUAUUAUAAAAUACUAAUACAAAGAACUGUCAUUAUUAUCUGCAUUUUUUGGUAAAACUAUGAAUGACAUUGUUCUAUUGUGUAGUGCAUAAACCUUUGUGUGAUAAAUUCAGAUUUUAGUGCUUAGAAGGUGGUUUUUUAAUUCUGUUGGUUUGCCUUUUUUAAAAAAAUAACAUCUAAAUAUACAUACAAAAAAUCAUAUUUCCUUUUCUCUGGCUGAAAGCUCAAUACUAUAAUUAUCAUUCAAUUACAGCAAUUACCUUAGUCUAGCUCUUUCUUUCCUCUCUCUACACCAACCCCAAUUACAAGUUUUUGAUUUUACAUGUUUUUAAGGAUCUUAUGUAGGUGUCUUUAUUAUAAUCUCAAUAUUUCUUGGAAGCAGAUCUUAAUUUCUAAAUAUUGCAUACAUAAAGGUUUAAAUUUAAUUACCAUGAACUAUUCCUUUAUAGAUUUUAACCGCUCUCAAUGUCUAGAUACAUUUUUAUUUUUUUAAUUUAUUAAUUUUUUUUUUUUGUCUUUUUGCCAUCUCUUGGGCUGCUCCUGUGGCAUAUGGAGGUUCCCAGGCUAGGGGUUGGAAUUGGAGAUGCAGCUGCCAGACUAUGCCAGAGCCAACAUCAACACGGGAUCUGAGCCACGUCUACAACCUACACCACAGCUCACAGCAAAGCCAGAUCCUUAACCCACUGAACAAGGCCAGGGAUCGAACCCGCAACCUCAUGGUUCCUGGUCGGAUUUGUUAACCACUGAGUCAUGACGGGAACUCCUAGAUACAUUUUUAAAAAGCAGAGGAUGAAAUUGGGGAAAAGUAAGGAGAAAAAGAACACUUUCCCAUUAAAUUAAUCUCUGGGAUCAUAAGUUCUGAUUUCUAAGGAAACAAUGGAAGAAAUUUUCAGAUGAUAUAUGAGAUGCAAAGACUAUGAUUAAAAUCAAACCAACUUUGUCCUAAAGACUACAGAGAAUCAUUAAAUUUCUCUGAACUAGACUAGAAUUUUCAACCCUGGCUAUAUGUGAGAACCACUUGGGAAACUCAAUACCCAAGACUAACCCCAGAAAUUGGCUUAACAUAAACUAGACAUUCAUAUUUGUAAAGAUGCCCCCAGAGCAUUUGAAUGUAUAGUGAAGGCUGAGAAUCACUCAGCCAGACUAUUCAUUCAUACUUCAAAACUAAAUGGCAAAUGUUACUUUAUUUUUUACACUGGGAUAUAGCAUAGUCAUUGGAUAUGACAAUAUAAAACAGAUAAAGCUCAAUAUAAAACAGAUAAAGAUACUUUACUCGUUUUACACAAGUUUACACUGGGAACCAUGCAAACCAUAGUUUUUGCAGCACAUGUAUAUCCUCAGAGCCCAGGCUUAAACAGAGCAUGUAUAGUCUAUUCCAGAAGGUAGCAUCUGAGCUUUGCAACAUAAAGACACAGACUCAGAAGAUAUGAGCACUGAGCCAUGUUCCUUCUUUGCCUGUCUGCUAGAUUAUGUCAACAUUUUAUUUCUGCAUUUCUAAAAUCCUAAUCUAAAAGUUGUAUGUUUAAACAUAAUUCACUACAUCAAUUAAAACAGCAUUACUUUAAAGUAUUUUCAAAUGUAAAAAUGUAAAAAUUUCAGCAAGAAAUACAAAAUCGCUGCUGUUUCUAGAUUGCAUGUCAGAGCUGAUCUAAACACUCAUUCUCUCUCUACUUACAAAAUGACCCAUAAUUCCUGGAGGUAAAGAAUGUACUAGAAAUCAAUACAUUAUUAUGACAAUACUUCUCCCUAUGCAUCAGGCUACUUUAGUUUUUCUCUUGAUCUUCGUUGCUUAAAUGGACACAAUACACUUUGUUCAGGUCAGUCUGACAAACAUUUAUUGAAGGACUACCAUGGGCCGGGAAGGCCCAACCCCUCCAGCCUCAGCUGGUUGCUUAGUCUCCUUGACCAUGACCUUUCAACCCCAAGGGCUUUCUCUUUCUAGCUCUUGAAUACAUUGAGUUUGCCCUCAUCCUGAAUCUUUUAUAUUUUGCAGAUCAUCUCACAGCUGGUUCCCCUUCAUUUUUUCCAUCCUGUUCAAAUAUCACAUUCUCUGAGAAGCCUUCUUGAACCAACCAUACUAAAGCCCUCUUGUGCAUCCCCAACUCAGUCUUCUUACCCCAUUACCCCCUUUUCCUUUCCUGUUAUCCCAUCUGAAAGCAUCUUAUGUAUUGACUUUUGUGUUCAAGGUUGCAGGAAGCCCUCCAGAACAUAAUCUCCAUGAGCACAGGCACUUGUCUGGGCAGCUGUAACCUGCACCUACAACAGUUGAAUGCACUCAGGAAGUACUGGUGGAGUGAAUGAAUGCACGUCUUUGCAAUCUUACCAAGAAUAGUUCCAAAAUGAGUCCUGUACUCU